AAAAAAAAAAAUUUUUAAAGGCCCAGUAGUGUGGCAAAAAGAGAGGGGAUUGUGGUCUUCUGUUACUGUCUCUCUAUUUGAUCGUUAACAAGUCUUCUCACCUCUCUGAGCCUUGCAUUUUGUCUCUGUGAAAGGAGAACAGUAUCCCUACCCUUCACUGUCUCAUGUGGUUAUUAUAAAGAACAGAUGAAGUAACACAAGUUAAAAGGUGUUUUUGUAAAACAGCAAGCACCUUGUGACAAUUUACCCCUGCAUUCAGUAGGGUGAUUUUUAUUGUCCUGAAGGCUUAAUUUUAGGUCACUUAAAAACUGUAGAUUUAUUACAUAUGUGUGUGUAUAUAUGUGUAUGUGUGUGGGUGUGUGUGUUUUAAGGGAAUAACAUUUUUAAAAAUCCUGUAA